ACUCCUGACUUCAAAUGAAAUUGCGCUUUCCAUUUUACAAACAAGUCUUUGAGUGUGGGUUAUCGUUGUGUGAAGAACGGAGAGCACUCAUAGCGCGUUGGUGGAAAACUGGAGGAUCUGCGUUCAAUAUUUUCACAUACAGUUGGUCUCAACUUCUCUGGAUGCAGAUUUAGAUGCGAUCGGAUUGAGCUUGAGUUUACGUCAUCUGAUAACAACGAUAAAACGGCGGAAAAACGGAAAGCAACAUUUGUUAUCUUUCAACUUAAAGGAAAAAACGAACUCAAAGUUAGACUCCGGCAUGACUGUCCAGAGAACAAAUGUGAAGAAUUAACAGAAGGCAAUGUGCACGAAUAAAAGGGAAGAAAAUAGAUGCUGCAAAUGAUGAAGCUGAAAAGGAGUUGUUGCAAUAAUGGUCGCAAAUUAAACAGCGGUGCCGAAGAGGGGCUGGAGAAGCUCCUUGUCGUUGCAGUAGAAGAUUUUCCGUUUUCAGUUCCUUUGCCAGGUGUUCCACAUUCGCUGAAGUCAAGAGUCCGUCGUUCUGUCUGCAAAAAUUCGGAAUUAUUCCAAAGGUUAGUAAUGGUUAUUUACUUAUUUGUUCUAAUAAUGCUCAUUUAAUAACUAUUUUUAAAAUUUAUGUUUGUUUCAUUCCAAAUUUUCGAUUUUGGUUUCACGUUUAAACAGUUUUAAAACUACUUCUUAGUUUCCUUUUUUUUUUUUUUUUUUCUGAAAUCUUAAUAAAACAUAGAUAAAGAAAACAUUGAAAUUUGUAGGUAGAAGAGAUAUUUAUAAGCUAAAAUAAAAAAAAAAUCACAAAUUGGGACCUAAGUAAUAAUCAACACAAAUUUAUAUCCUUGAGAAAGAAAGGAAAAGAAAAUUUCAGCUCGAGUGUUAAACCAGGUUUUUAAACAUUACUUCAUAGUUUUCAAAUUCUACUUUUUGAAUUGCUUAUAUACGUGUAGAGUGCAUUAGGAGACUUCCUAAAGUGUUUAUAAAAGUAAAAAAAAUGUUUAUAACACUUCUGAUUUCUAUCGAAAUGAGCCGUAGAUUUAUUUAAAAGCUUUUUAAUAAUAUUGAGCAGUUUCAAAGAAUUCAUUUUGACGUGUUAUAUUUUGAAGCAUUUUGAAUGACAAACAUACAUUGAUAAAAAAUUGAUAUUGUGAAAGGAUUAUUUGAUUUGUAGUUUUUGGAAGAAUUAUUUGUUCAUUUAAUAUAACAUUUUUUUGAACAAAUUUUAAAAAGAAAAAUUAUCAAAAGUGACAAAUUUGAUAAAAUAUUUAUAAAAUAUAACAAAUUUUCAGAUUCUAUUAAUAAUAGACAUUGAUAGACACUGAUAUGAUUAUAUUAGUUAUAUUGAUCAACAAUAAUCGAAGUAUAUUAAUGUCUAUCAUUGAUAUAAUUCAAAAUUUUGUUAUAUGUUGUAAAUAUUAUAUUUUAUUCUACUACAUUUAAAAAUGUUAUUUUCUUAAAAUAUUUAUAAAAAACUCAAAAAAAUGGUUAUGGAUAGCAAAAGAAAACUAAAACUACUUACAAAAUGAGUAAAAAAAAUUAAUUGUACUAGAUAAAUUUUGUUAUAUUUUAUAAAUAAUUUUAAUAUUUUACUAUUUUUGUAAAUGUCCCAUCAAAAUUUUAACAAAUAUUUUAAAAAUAGAAAGUACAUUUAAUUUACUAUAGUCCCCAAACUUGAAGGCCUAUAUUUCAUGAAAAUCUAAAUUUACGAAUUCUGUCUUUAAAAUUUAAAGUAUUUUAAAACUCUCAACGACAAACAAACAUUACACAUAACACAAGAGACUAUUGAAAAGAUUUUGAAAAUUUGAAGAGUAUUUAAACAUAUAAUUUAACAACGGCCAAGGUUUGAAAAGAAUUUUUUAGAGGGCAAGAAAGAGAAGCAACAAUAUCUAUUUUUUAAAGUUUGUUUUCAAAAACAAAGAAAAGAGAGAAUAUUUAUUAACAAACACGACCUAAAUAAUUUAAAAACAUUUUUUUAGUGAAAUCCAACGUCAGUUUUAAACAAUACAAAAACAAACUGGUCGAUUCAGCGGGGAUUUGUUUCCAGAAAUUGAAUUGAUUAAGAUCAGAACAUUUAAAUGUCAUGACUUGAUUUUACAAAAAUAACACAAGAUAUGCUUUGUCAAAGAUGUUAGGACAAAUUUCCAUUUUGUAAUUUUGUCAUGGUGUAUCUGCUUAGUUUGGACAAUUAUGCAAGUGUAUCCAAUUUUCUAAAAUUCAGAAAAAGUAACCGUGCCUAACCUAGUACAUGCAGGCAUAAAUGUAUUAUAAUUUAAAUUAAUAAUUUGUUUCACUUUCUCAUAUCGUUUAAAAUGUUUUAAUCAACUUUAACCUACAAUUAAAAGACUAAAUUGAAAGAACAUACUACAUUCUAUGGAAAAAUAGGUUUCAAAAUCAACACAUGAUUUACAUCUUCAAUGUGAAUUUUCAAAAAUAAUCACUUUAAGUUAUUAUCAUUUAUUAAUCAACUAAUUAUAAAAUAAUAGUUUUUAAUUUGUUUUAAUAGUAAUGAAAAAUAGUAAGUUUUAGUUCAUAGUAAUAUUUAAUUAAUUGACGUUAACAUUGAAUUGAAUAUAGAAAGUAAGAAUUUUAGUGAAAAUUAAAAAUAUGAAUCUUAGAAUCUUCUUCGGAACUCGAAUCUCAAUAUUGAAUUUAAGAUUUAUGGACUAAAUUGAAACUUAAAACUUAAAAACUAAAUAGGUAAUAUUUUGAAACCUAAUGUCUAAAUAAAAACUAGAUCAAAAAUUAGAAACUAAAAAAAAUAUUUUACCCAUAUUUUAUAGUAAUAUGUUUUACUCCAACGCACUUUAUAUUAAUAUGUUUUACUCUGCCGUAUUUUAUAGUGUAUUUUGGUAUUUUCAUCCAUGAAAAUCCUUAAUGAUAGACGAAAAUAAUAAUUAGGGAUGAAAACAGUUCGAUCUAGUUAAUCAAAUGAAAUCAAAAGUUUUAGAUUUUCUAUAAGAAAAACUAAACUAAACAAAUUUAUUGGUUUAAACUGAACUGAAUUGAAUCAAUAUAUCGUGACUUGGUUGGGUUUUAAAUCUAUAUUUUUCGAUUGGGAUUUGAAAAAGGGUUCGAAUUGUGCUAUUUGAAUGGCCAAACAAUAGUAAUAAUAAUGCGAGAGAGAGAGAGGAGCGUACCAAAAUAUCGGGAGCCAAGGUGGAACGGGAGUUGGUAAAAUGAUUCUUCUUGUCCUUGUGAUGAUUCUCAUAUUUGCCACGCCUUCCUUUCAACAAGGAUUGUGGAGUUUCAUUUCCCAGAACCUCUUGAGCACUCGCACACGCAGCCGCAGUCUGUUCACUUACCUCCUUCAUCAGCCCUAUUGCAUCGUAGCUUCUAUCCCCUGGGCUCAUAAAGUAUCCUACUUCCUGCACUUACAUUCCAACCAUCACAAAAUCUAACAAUACAAAGAACUCUAGAAAUAAAUACAUACAUAUUACGGUUCAA